AUGUCUGUAUUAGAGCAUUCCCCCAAAGGCCACAGUCCAGUAGAGGAACAAGCCAUUUUCAUAUUUUGUGCUUUCCAAUUGCCUGUCUCUGGAAUGGGGAUGACAACACUCUGCUGUUCCUUUACUCAAGGGGGAUUUGGUUAUGUGGAUGAUACAUGGUGUGUGUAUGAGCUUCGAGCUCAUCGAUGGAAAGGUGCUCUGGAAAUUCACGCUUGCAUGUGCCAUUUCAGAGUAUUGGCAAUCUGCGGUGACACGGAGGGCUGUCAGCGAGCUGCAGUGUGCCUCCACGUACUGAUCCUGAGCAUCCUCCAACCUGCCUGCAAGGCAACAUUUUACAUCAUUGUGGAGACCCACUUUAGAAGUUCCUUGAGACUAGAGUCUUUAUGCAAUUAAAAGACAUCCUGACUUUGAGGACAUUAUGCUUGAUCCAGAUAAUUUAAAAGUAAUGAUGAGUUCUGAGCUUGGAGCCUGUUCAUAUCCAUGUCUAAGAGCUGUGGAUCAGUAGGAAAGAUUGGGUAAGAGGAAACUGAAUGGGUGUGGGGAAUUGGGGAGUAGCAUACAGGCAAGGAUAUGGUGGAGAGAAAUGUUGCCUUUGACAAUGACCGCUGGUUCCUCCUUGUUAUUCAUGGCAGCUUUCCAGCAGAGGGGGUCUCUAAACUGAAGGGCAGGGGAAGGUCUUCAGAUGUAUAGAGGGACCAGAUUGGAAAUUCAAGAUAACUAUGAAGGUUCACACCUUUGAAAACAAUGUGGCAGAUACACCAGAUUUAUUCAGAGAGGGCAUUUUUACCAUUGAACCAAGCGUAGGUUAAACAGGAAGCAGUGAUCCUAAAUAGGACCUGGGCUUGGACUUUGGGUAACAAAUGUCUCUGGAACCACAGCCUAGAUAGAUCAAGUGUCAGCAAGCGGGAGAACCUGAUCACAAUAGAGAGUUGCAGAUUGACUUGUGUGGUUGUGGCUAAGAGCUGAAAGUCAAUGAUAAUAAUUGAGUCACUUUAUCUUAAGGAUCGGGGAUAAUCAACCUAAAAGACAAAGGAGUUGCCUUUAUCAUUUAUCAACCACAUCUUGAAACCAGAGGACAGACCUGCUUAGGGUUCCUGCAUUAGGCAACUACAAAGAAAAAUGUAGCAUUUUCACAAAUCCUGAAGAUACAUAUGUGUACGAUGAACCUUCCACAGUUAAUAUGAGUAGAUUGACCACCAUGGGGAGAGAGAAUAAAAUCAAGUGACAAUAGAAUGCA
rnacentral:lncRNA from 12 species